UACUCCCCUCCUUCCCUUCUCCCCUCUCCACCCACGCAACCCUAAAUUCAAUUAAUUCUCCAAUUCCCACUUCGACGGCCACCGUCCCCCUCCCCUACCUCUAGUUUCAAUUCUUCUUCUCUACACGAAGACACCCAAAUCUUGCAGGAUGUCAGGGUCUCCAGGCUGGAUGUGGGUAGGGGUCCGAUUCGGGAGCGCCCAACGGUAUGAAUUCCGGGUCGGAUUCGGGAAGAUCCACGUCGGCGUCAGAUUUCGAGGGAAGGGUUGGAGGCCGUGACGGGAUCCGGAGGAGGAGGCGUAGAGAUAUGCGGCCUUGGGCUUGGCGUGUUGGAGGAUUGGGCUCCGUGAAUAACUUCAUGCAGUGACGUCUCUUGGCUGGGGUUGGGUUUUGGGGUGUGGAGGAUGGGGUUGGGUUUUGGGUUUUGGGAUGAGGAGGAUAAGGGUUUGGAGCAGGAGUUUGCUGCGGAUUUGCGAUGGUGAAGACGGAGAUGGGGCUGCUGGGGAUUUGCUACUUGUUCGAAAUGGGGAUGGGAAAAACCCUUAGUUUUUUUUUCUUUAAAUUUUUGUUUUUUUUUUAAGUUUUAAUUUAUUAUUAUUUUUUUAAUUUAAUUUAUUUUAGUUUUAUUAUUUUAUUAUUUUUAAUGUCCAAGUGGGACAUUUAGUCAUUGUUCACGUGGACGCUACGUCAUCAGUUAAAGGAAGUUUUGACGGAAAACU